rnacentral:rRNA from 1 species
UACGUAGGGGGCAAGCGUUGUCCGGAUUUAUUGGGCGUAAAGAGCGUGUAGGCGGUUUGGUAGGUCCGUUGUGAAAACUCGAGGCUCAACCUCGAGACGCCGGCGGAAACCAUCAGGCUAGAGUCCGGAAGAGGAGAGUGGAAUUCCUGGUGUAGCGGUGAAAUGCGCAGAUAUCAGGAAGAACCCCCGUGGCUAAGGCGGCUCUGUAGUACGGUAAUGACGCUGAGACGCGAAAGCGUGGGGAGCGAACAGG